AUUGAACGCUAGCGGGAUGCUUUACACAUGCAAGUCGAACGGCAGCACGAGAGAGCUUGCUCUCUUGGUGGCGAGUGGCGGACGGGUGAGUAAUAUAUCGGAACGUGCCCAGUAGCGGGGGAUAACUACUCGAAAGAGUGGCUAAUACCGCAUACGCCCUACGGGGGAAAGGGGGGGAUUCUUCGGAACCUCUCACUAUUGGAGCGGCCGAUAUCGGAUUAGCUAGUUGGUGGGGUAAAGGCUCACCAAGGCAACGAUCCGUAGCUGGUUUGAGAGGACGACCAGCCACACUGGGACUGAGACACGGUCCAGACUCCUACGGGAGGCAGCAGUGGGGAAUUUUGGACAAUGGGGGAAACCCUGAUCCAGCCAUCCCGCGUGUAUGAUGAAGGCCUUCGGGUUGUAAAGUACUUUUGGCAGAGAAGAAAAGGUAUUCCCUAAUACGGGAUACUGCUGACGGUAUCUGCAGAAUAAGCACCGGCUAACUACGUGCCAGCAGCCGCGGUAAUACGUAGGGUGCAAGCGUUAAUCGGAAUUACUGGGCGUAAAGCGUGUGUAGGCGGUUCGGAAAGAAAGAUGUGAAAUCCCAGGGCUCAACCUUGGAACUGCAUUUUUAACUGCCGAGCUAGAGUAUGUCAGAGGGGGGUAGAAUUCCACGUGUAGCAGUGAAAUGCGUAGAUAUGUGGAGGAAUACCGAUGGCGAAGGCAGCCCCCUGGGAUAAUACUGACGCUCAGACACGAAAGCGUGGGGAGCAAACA
rnacentral:rRNA from 1 species